CAGAUAUUUUUGUAUAUGGCAAAAAAAAAAAGAAAGAUUAUAUGGCUUAUUGAGAUUGGAAUCGCAAAUUGAGAUUUGUUAACAACAAUUAAAAAUGAAAAAAAUGAGAAAAUAUGACUUAAAGGCAAUUGAACUGGGCAUGAUAUAUAAGUGCCAAGUAAAGAUAAUUCCCUAUGUGAUUAAUGAUGUACACAGAAUCAUUGGUACCCAGGGCAACAUUUUUUGGCCCCCUAUCUCCUUUCAAAAAAACAUCUGUUUUAAAAUUAAUACUCUGAUGUCGGCACUAUUGAGCAGACCUUUGGGGUUGUUCACUGGUAGGUCUUUAUUGGCC
rnacentral:lncRNA from 1 species